ACACUCCUGCGGGAGGCAGCAGUGGGGAAUAUUGGACAAUGGGCGCAAGCCUGAUCCAGCCAUGCCGCGUGAGUGAUGAAGGCCCUAGGGUUGUAAAGCUCUUUCACCGGUGAAGAUAAUGACGGUAACCGGAGAAGAAGCCCCGGCUAACUUCGUGCCAGCAGCCGCGGUAAUACGAAGGGGGCUAGCGUUGUUCGGAUUUACUGGGCGUAAAGCGCACGUAGGCGGACUAUUAAGUCAGGGGUGAAAUCCCGGGGCUCAACCCCGGAACUGCCUUUGAUACUGGUAGUCUUGAGUGCGGGAGAGGUGAGUGGAAUUCCGAGUGUAGAGGUGAAAUUCGUAGAUAUUCGGAGGAACACCAGUGGCGAAGGCGGCUCACUGGCUCGAUACUGACGCUGAGGUGCGAAAGCGUGGGGAGCAAACAGGAUUAGAAACCCGAGUAGUCCCA
rnacentral:rRNA from 1 species